GAUUGUAGUCUGCAACUCGACUACAUGAAGCUGGAAUCGCUAGUAAUCGCAGAUCAGAAUGCUGCGGUGAAUACGUUCCCGGGUCUUGUACACACCGCCCGUCACACCAUGGGAGUCGGAAAUGCCCGAAGCCGGUGACCCAACCAAAAGGAGGGAGCCGUCGAAGGCAGGUCUGAUAACUGGGGUGAAGUCGUAACAAGGUAAC
rnacentral:rRNA from 1 species